rnacentral:rRNA from 1 species
CCUACGGGUGGCAGCAGUCGAGAAUCAUUCACAAUGGGGGAAACCCUGAUGGUGCGACGCCGCGUGGGGGAAUGAAGUUCUUCGGAUUGUAAACCCCUGUCAUGUGGGAGCAAAUUAAAAAGAGUGAACCCCAAGAGGAAGAGCCGGCUAACUCUGUGUCAGCAGCCGCGGUAAUACAGAGGUCUCAAGCGUUGUUCGGAAUCACUUGGCGUAAAGCGUGCGUAGGGUGUUUCGUAAAUCGUGUGUGAAAGGCGCGGGCUCAACCCGCGGCGGGAACAUGCUACUGGGAGACUAGAGUGAGGGAGGGGGAUGCGGAAUUCUCGGUGUAGCAGUGAAAUGCGUAGAUAUCGAGCGGAACACUCGUGGCGAAGGCGGGAUCCUGGAGAUUAACUGACGCUGAGGCACGAAGGCGAGGGGAGCGAAAGGGAUUAGAUACCCGAGUAGUC